rnacentral:rRNA from 1 species
GGGACAUGACGCAGCCUGAUCCAGCCAUGCCGCGUGUGUGAUGAAGGCCUUCGGGUUGUAAAGCACUUUCAGCGGGGAGGAAGGGGAUUAAGUUAAUACCUUUGUGCCUUGACGUUACCCGCAGAACAAGCACCGGCUAACUCCGUGCCAGCAGCCGCGGUAAUA